GGCCGCGCGGGGCCGCCGCGAGCGCAUCCGGAGGCGUCUGGGUGCUGAGGCUCGGCGGGGCGGCCGCCCGCAGGUUCGCCUUCACCUCCACCAGGCGUCGCGGCGCUCGGCGGACGGAGGUUGCCCGCCCCGCUUCGCCAGCUUGAGCCCUCGCGUCCCUCCCGCUGUGGUGCCGGCUCCCUCUGGGGAGCGCUGACUCGGGAAGGCCACGAUCCCGGCGCGGGCGUCCGCAGUGCGAGGGGCCGAGCACCCGGACAUCCUGCUGGCACAGACUCAAGUGUUGAACGGUGGAGGAAGGCGAAACCACCACCCCGGGCUCGGAAUCGUUGCACUCAGGGCAUCGCAAGUCAUUCCAGAGCCGUCUCCGACGGUUGAUGUCCUGAAAGCCACGUGCCCAUUGACCAAUGGUGGCAAGGCUAGAUGUAGGUCCCAGGACAAUACUGGGCCGCGAAUCAAAUAAGAGAUUACAGUUAUUCUUGACUUAAAUGUAGAAUUUGCUUUUAAUAAAUUCUAAUAGCUAGGAGGGUUCGCAUAGAAGUUAUCGGUGACAGUGAUUUAGAGUCACAACCUCCAUGUCUCACAAGGUACAAACUUGACUUCUAGAAAACACAGUUUUUAUUAGAAGAUCUCUGAACUCUGAAUCCAGGAAGUUACUUCAGAUGCUUUGGAGGCUCAUCUCUCUGGUGCAGAUCCCAAGGGUUGAGGUGCCUGAUGGAUAAUACAAACACUCCUCUGGAAGAAGUACCAGAGAGAAAUGAUCCAUAUGUAGCAGCAGAUUUGGUGUUUUGAAGAAAAGAGGCACAUGUUCAAAGAGCCAUUACGGGUGUGAUCAAGAGCUGUCAUCAGGGCUGCCGGGUGACUCCAUCAGUUAAAUGUCUGCCUUCAGCUCAAGUCAUGAUCCCC